CAAGUCUUUGGCGUUUGAGAUGAACUGGAUUACCGAUUCUUCAAGCUCAAAUACUUCAGCAAAUUGCAACGUGGUGUGGUAAAGAGAAUCAAUGCGAAAAACGCAGAAAUCCCGGUCUGGACUUCCUUCGAGGUCAACAAUACAACCCAAUAUAGAGCUGCGAAGGAGUCUCAAGAAAUAUUCUCUGUCACUACUUAAUUCCGCCAUGUUUUUUUUAAAUCUUACUUGAAUAAUUAGUAGAAUAAUUACAAUUUUUUGCGGGA
rnacentral:lncRNA from 1 species